CACGUAGGGCGCAAGCGUUGUCCGGAAUUAUUGGGCGUAAAGAGCUCGUAGGCGGUCUGUUGCGUCCGCUGUGAAAACUCGGGGCUUAACCCCGAGCCUGCAGUGGAUACGGGCAGACUAGAGGUAGGUAGGGGAGAAUGGAAUUCCCGGUGUAGCGGUGAAAUGCGCAGAUAUCGGGAGGAACACCGGUGGCGAAGGCGGUUCUCCGGGCCUUACCUGACGCUGAGGAGCGAAAGCGUGGGGAGUGAACAGG
rnacentral:rRNA from 1 species